GUAAAACUGUAAACAAAGAAAUGUCAUGUCAGCUGUUGAAUCAAGUGUGUGUUUAUAAUUAAUUAACACAGAAAACAAAAGUUUAUUAAAAGAGAAAUGAUUAAUUUAAUUUUAAUAUAGCAUAAAAUGUUAUUGUCUAUUAAAAUAUUUCGUUUAGUGAUAUCUUUCAACCCCAUGAAUCUUGGAAAUUGGAAAUAAAAGAUUAAAAACAAAAAAUUAUGGAGACUGAAAGGCAAAUUAGAGCGGUUGUUGAUACCCUUCAAGCUUCUAUUGAAUCACAGAGGGGAAUUAAUUCGCAAAGCAUUCACAGUAUCAAUAGUAUCAAUAGAGCAACGGACAUAAUUCUCAGUGAACAUUUAAUCGCUGGCGCAAGACACAAUGGAAAAAUGUCCAAUGUCAGGAGAUUUUUCUGUCUAUUUGUUACGUUCGAUCUUCUCUUCACAUGUCUUCUUUGGCUUAUAUGUGCCACGAUCGCUGGAGAGAGUGCGGAAUCUGCAUUUGUUGAUCAAGUGGUCCAUUACAAUAUUUCAACAUCUUUAUUUGAUAUAGUUAUGGCUGCAAUUUGCAGGUUUACGGUGUUAUUAUUAUUUUAUGCGUUAUUGUAUAUAAAUCAUUGGUUUAUAGUGGCGCUGUCCACGGCCUUAUCGUGUGCCUUUCUCUUGGCCAAAGUUUUUUUGUUCGACUGGUCUCGAUAUAGUCAACCAGUUUUUCAAGUUUUACUUAUAAUAAUGUCAUUUGUGAUUGCUUGGGGUGAAGCGUGGUUCUUAGAUAUUAGAGUAAUUCCUCAAGAGACAGAAGCGAGUAAUUGGACUCUAGGAAUUGUCGAAUCAGAAAGAGCGCCACUUUUACAGCAUGGAGCACAUUCAUCAAAUCUUUAUAGUGAAAAUGUGGGUACAUUUUAUACUCCUGUUGAUUCUCCUAAUCAUUCUGAUGUUGAGGACAAUGAAGAUGAACGAAGAAAUCGAAUAGAUUCAUCAUUUCGUCCAAUGUCAGUGAAACUCUCAGAACAAAAGAAAGAGGAGUACAAAAAUAAAGCGAGAUCAUUGUUAAAUCGUUCCGCUGAAUUGUUGACAUCUAAAGAAUGGAUUGUGGAUAAAAUUACUCCAUUUGGUGACAUUGUUUCUUACUUGCAGUUUCCAAAAACUGGCAGAAAGAUUUUAAGAAUAUCGGGAAUUGUAAAUACUCCUGCGAAAGAAGUCGCAGAUCAUUUAUUUGAAAAUGUAGAAUCAUCCAUCAAGUGGAAUAAACAAUUAACAGAGUGUAAAAAAAUUAAUGCAAUAGAUGAAAAUACGGAUAUUAUUUAUCAAGCCACGCCGUCUUUUGGAAAUGGCAUUGUCACUGCAAGAGAUUUUGUAACUUUACGACAUCGGGGAAAUAUUGGUCCAUAUUUUGUUAGCUGUGGCAUGUCCGUGCCCUCGGUUGAAUAUCCAAAUCGAAAAAAUUUUAUCCGAGGAGACACGGAUUUGGGAUGUUUUGUCACAGAAGAAAAUGGCGAGAAUUGUUGUCGUUUCACUUAUAUUUUGAGCACUGAUUUGAAAUUACCGUGGCUACCGCAAAAAAUGAUUGACAAUGUAUCUGUGACGUCACUCGCUGAAUUUAUGGAUCUAAUGAGAAAUCAUUUUCGCAAUUUAAGAUCAUGACCAAUAUUGGAAGGCCAUGGUAGGAGCCUUUAUUGUGAAAAUGAUAUGAAAAACUUACUGAGUGAAAGUGAAUUUCAAAUUUUUUCAAGAACUCCCGAAUUAAUUUUUGCGUGAAAAGAAGAAGAAAUAUUUCGCUUCAAAUUAGAAAUAUUGAUCAAGCGGAGGGGGAAAAAAAUAAUAAAAAAGGAAUUUUUGAGUCAAACCCAGGAGAAAUUAUUUUUAGACAUUCCAUACUCUGCGUCUGGAUAGAGAGUGAAAGUUCAUAAGAUCUCGAUUACUCAGCUUCAGCCUAAAAUAAAAUCGCGUUCAUUUUCAUGUUCGAAUCACCAAGUACACUGUGUUUAUAAUAAACACAAAAAGUAAAAUUAUCAACAGAUAUGGUAAAUUUUUUUUUUUUUUUUUUUAAUCGUUAUAAAUAUCAAUACCACGAAUAAUAAUCAUUGAAAUAAUUUUCAGUAACAAUUCUUUUUAAGAUAUACGCGAUAAAAACAUUUGCAAAUAUAAAAGACUGAAUUUUUUUGUUUUCUCAAGAAAAUUUUAACAACGAUAAAAAAAAUUUUUUUGUUGUUAUUUUCUUUAUUGUUACAAAUAUGUAUGUGUUUAAUUAUCAAAUCUUUUAUAUAUAUACA